ACGGGAGGCAGCAGUGGGGAAUAUUGGACAAUGGGGGAAACCCUGAUCCAGCGACGCCGCGUGAGUGUAGAAGUAUUUCGGUAUGUAAAGCUCUAUCAGCAGGGAAGAUAAUGACGGUACCUGACUAAGAGGCCCCGGCUAACUACGUGCCAGCAGCCGCGGUAAUACGUAGGGGGCAAGCGUUAUCCGGAUUUACUGGGUGUAAAGGGAGCGUAGACGGAAGGCCAAGUCUGAUGUGAAAACCCGGGGCUCAACCCCGGGACUGCAUUGGAAACUGGUCAUCUGGAGUGCAGGAGGGGUAAGCGGAAUUCCUAGUGUAGCGGUGAAAUGCGUAGAUAUUAGGAGGAACACCAGUGGCGAAGGCGGCUUACUGGACUGUAACUGACGUUGAGGCUCGAAGGCGUGGGGAGCAAACAGGAUUAGAUACCCUGGUA
rnacentral:rRNA from 1 species